AGGUGAAAAAGGGGUUCGUUUCAGAAACAUUAACCCUAGUAUUAGACGAUAAAACCCGUUGAUAAACUAGGAUCCAAAGUCUUCCAAGAAUAUUAGCCCUAAUAUUUCCUUCGUAUCGUCUCGAACUCCGUAGUAGAAACCAAUCAUGAACAGAGGUCCCAACGAUGCUAAAAUAUGCGUCUUAUGGGACUUGAUGGAUUUCCCAGUCCCUGAGGGUCGCAGUAUUCGUGAUAUUGUUGGUUCUGUUCUGCGGGAAGAGGGUUAUACUGGUGAGUUGUCAAUCACGGCUUAUGGCUGUUAGACGAAUCCCUUUCCGCCUCAAGACGGGUUCACCUUCGUACAGAAUAGCGAUAAAUAUUGGAGACUUUCUAAGAUAUUAGUAGACGCUGCUUUCUGGGCACUGGAUCCCUUGGCCUAAUUUAAAACCUGCACCUUCCUUGAUGGUAGUCACAAAGAACUGCGACCAACAAACGGAGUUCGUGGAUUUUCUCCAAAAUUUGUAUAAUUUAACUUUCCAAAUUUUCUUA